rnacentral:rRNA from 1 species
CCUACGGGAGGCAGCAGUAAGGAAUAUUGGUCAAUGGGACGAAAGUCUGAACCAGCCAUGCCGCGUGAAGGAUGACGGCCCUCUGGGUUGUAAACUUCUUUUAUAUGGGACGAAAAAAGGGAAUUCUUUCUCACUUGACGGUACCAUAGGAAUAAGCACCGGCUAACUCCGUGCCAGCAGCCGCGGUAAUACGGAGGGUGCAAGCGUUAUCCGGAUUCACUGGGUUUAAAGGGUGCGUAGGUGGGUAGGUAAGUCAGUGGUGAAAUCUCCGAGCUUAACUCGGAAACUGCCAUUGAUACUAUUUAUCUUGAAUUUUUUGGAGGUGAGCGGAAUAUGUCAUGUAGCGGUGAAAUGCUUAGAUAUGACAUAGAACACCAAUUGCGAAGGCAGUUCACUACGAAAUUAUUGACACUGAGGCACGAAAGCGUGGGGAUCAAACAGGAUUAGAUACCCUGGUAGUCCACGCCCUAAACGAUGGAUACUCGACAUCAGCGAUACACUGUUGGUGUCUGAGCGAAAGCAUUAAGUAUCCACCUGGGAAGUACGACCGCAAGGUUGAAACUUCAAAUGAAAUUGACGG